CAUGUUUGUUUUAACCACUGUUUAGUUAUGGCAGUAAAAGUAUUAAAAAUUUGGGAAUAUAAGGCUUACUAUUGAAAUUAGGACUUAUACAAAUGUGGGAAGAAUUGUUCAAGUGAAAGAAAAAUGAGAACAGGAAGAUAAAGUACAAUCGCUGUCAACAAUUGCUUGGAUAGUUGAAAUGGUUGAGCACAUUUGAGCUUUAAAUAAAAUCCUAGAUGCUAUGCAUAUCUAAAAGUGAAACAGGAGAAUUGGUCGACAGAUCUGUGAAUGUUGUUGUUUUGAGGAAACUACAAUGAAGGGUUUAGCUGUUGACUUGGAUCCACUGUUCAUUGACAGAGCCAGAACUUUGAAGAUCAUUAGAAUUCUGGAGUAUAUUGGACAGUAUAUUUUAUAUCUUGUCCUCAAUUGUGUGGUUUCUGACAUCUCUGAAAGUAAAGACCUGUGUUCGCCAGCUUUUUGUCACUGUGACCAAAAUAGAUAAUAAGAAUAGAGGAAAGAUUUAUUUUAGCUCAUGUUUUCAGAGUAUUUAGUCCAUAGUUAAUUGACUCCAAGGCAGAAACAUCAUGUAAUUGCAGCAACUUGGGAGGCUGAGACAGGAGUAUCAUGAGUUCAAAGCCAGCCUCAACAGCUUAGUGAGGUUCUAAGCAACUCAGUGAAAUCCUGUCUCUAUAUAAAACAUAAAAGAAGAGCUGGGGAUGUGGCUCAGUGGUUAAGCAUCCCCUGGGCUCAAUCAAUCCCCAGUACGAAACAAACAAAAUGAAACAUCACAAUGAAAGGGCAUAAGGGAAGAGAAUUAUUCAGUUUAUGGCAGCCAGAAAGCAGAGAGGGAGAGGAAGGAACUAGAGAGAAAAUAGAUCCUUCCAGGCUAUGCCCCAGUGAUCUGCUUCCUCCGCCCAGGUCCCACCUCACAAGUGUCCCUUCAACUAUCAUUAAGCUACUGACAAGAUUGCAGCUAUCAUGAAGCAAAUAAACAUUAUACCUCUUAUUCAGAAAAGACUCAACCACAUUGUUCGAAGAGCAUAUAUUAUUGGUUGAAUUUAGAAAAUGAAAUCUGCCAAGAUUGUUUUUUUUCAUUCUUUGGUUAUUUUUGUAAUUUAUUGUUGUUUUAGAUAUGUAGUAUCCCCCAAAACUUAUGUCUGACACAAUGUAAGAAGGUUUAAAGGUGAAUGAUUGGAUUAUGGGAGCUUUACCCAAUCAGUCAAUUAAUCCCCUGCUAGGGUUUAGCUGAGUGAUAACUGCAGGCAGGAAGGGUGUGGCUGGAGAGUUGGGUCAUUGGGAGCCUGCCUUUUAGGUGUGUAUUUUAUAUGUGGAUAUUGAAGUCUUUCUCUCUGCUUCUUGAUGAUCAUAUCCUGACCUGCUUUCCUCCACCAUACCCUUCUACUAUGAUGUUCUGCUUUGCAUAGAGGCCCAAAGAAUACAGCCAGCUGUCUAUGAACUAAGACCUCUGAAACUGUAAGCCAAGUAAUUUCCUCCUAAAAUUGUUCUUAUCAGGUCUAUUAGUCACAUUAGCAAUGAAAACAAACAAACAACAACAAAACAAAGGUGACUAAAACACUUCUUAACAAAUGUAAAUGUACAUUUUAGGUCUAAAUUUUAUUUAUUUAUUUAUUUAUUUAUUUAUUUUUGCA
rnacentral:lncRNA from 1 species